rnacentral:rRNA from 1 species
UACGUAGGGGGCAAGCGUUGUCCGGAAUCAUUGGGCGUAAAGCGUGCGUAGACGGCUAUCUAAGUCGGGUGUGAAAGCCCCGGGCUCAACCUGGGAAUUGCAUUCGAGACUGAAUAGCUAGGGUACGGUAGAGGGAAGUGGAAUUUCCGGUGUAGCGGUGAAAUGCGUAGAUAUCGGAAGGAACAUCAGUGGCGAAAGCGACUUCCUGGACCAGUACCGACGUUCAGGCACGAAAGCGUGGGGAGCAAACAGG